rnacentral:rRNA from 1 species
GACGAACGCUGGCGGCGUGCUUAACACAUGCAAGUCGAGCGGUAAGGCCCUUUCGGGGGUACACGAGCGGCGAACGGGUGAGUAACACGUGGGUGACCUGCCCUUAGCUCUGGGAUAAGCCUGGGAAACUGGGUCUAAUACCGGAUAUGACUCCAUGACGCAUGUUGUGGGGUGGAAAGCCUUGUGCGGCUAGGGAUGGGCCCGCGGCCUAUCAGCUUGUUGGUGGGGUGAUGGCCUACCAAGGCGACGACGGGUAGCCGGCCUGAGAGGGCGACCGGCCACACUGGGACUGAGACACGGCCCAGACUCCUACGGGAGGCAGCAGUGGGGAAUCUUGCGCAAUGGGCGAAAGCCUGACGCAGCGACGCC